CCAGAGAACUUAGCAGAGAUGCUUUGGUGCCUUCGGGAACUCUGAGACAGGUGCUGCAUGGCUGUCGUCAGCUCGUGUUGUGAAAUGUUGGGUUAAGUCCCGCAACGAGCGCAACCCUUAUCCUUUGUUGCCAGCGAUUCGGUCGGGAACUCAAAGGAGACUGCCGGUGAUAAACCGGAGGAAGGUGGGGAUGACGUCAAGUCAUCAUGGCCCUUACGGCCAGGGCUACACACGUGCUACAAUGGCGCAUACAAAGAGAAGCGACCUCGCGAGAGCAAGCGGACCUCAUAAAGUGCGUCGUAGUCCGGAUUGGAGUCUGCAACUCGCUCCAUGAAGUCGGAAUCGCUAGUAAUCGUAGAUCAGAAUGCUACGGUGAAUACGUUCCCGGGCCUUGUACACACCGCCCGUCACACCAUGGGAGUGGGUUGCAAAAGAAGUAGGUAGCUUAACCUUCGGGAGGGCGCUUACCACUUUGUGAUUCAUGACUGGGGUGAAGUCGUAACAAGGUAAGCGUAGUGCU
rnacentral:rRNA from 1 species